AAUCCUGCGGGAGGCAGCAGUGGGGAAUAUUGGACAAUGGGCGCAAGCCUGAUCCAGCCAUGCCGCGUGAGUGAUGAAGGCCCUAGGGUUGUAAAGCUCUUUCACCGGUGAAGAUAAUGACGGUAACCGGAGAAGAAGCCCCGGCUAACUUCGUGCCAGCAGCCGCGGUAAUACGAAGGGGGCUAGCGUUGUUCGGAUUUACUGGGCGUAAAGCGCACGUAGGCGGACUAUUAAGUCAGGGGUGAAAUCCCGGGGCUCAACCCCGGAACUGCCUUUGAUACUGGUAGUCUUGAGUUCGAGAGAGGUGAGUGGAAUUCCGAGUGUAGAGGUGAAAUUCGUAGAUAUUCGGAGGAACACCAGUGGCGAAGGCGGCUCACUGGCUCGAUACUGACGCUGAGGUGCGAAAGCGUGGGGAGCAAACAGGAGGAGAAACCCCGGUAGUCCCAUG
rnacentral:rRNA from 1 species